GGGUGCGCGGAAGGGAGUUUUUAUAGUGCACCAAGCGCCGCGAUAUCUCGACUGCCGGCGCAGAUCAUCCCGAGCUGUAAUUGGCUGAGUGUUAUCCCGCCCCCGCCACGUUCUCUCUGCGCCUGCGCGUUUCCCUUGCCGAAGCCGCGACGGGCGCCGACGGGGAGAGACUAUAAAGAGCUCUCGCGCGCGCCUCUCCGGCCCCGUCGUGCUCACGAGUGCGUCGUCCCGCGCUGUCUGCCAGGUUCCACCGAAUCUGGAGACUGCUACCGCCGCUUCGCCCGCGAAAAUGGCAGGGUUCCGGCGUCCUGUUAAAUAAAGUGGUUUAACUUUCCGUGUA